GUCGAACGGCAGCACGGGUGCUUGCACCUGGUGGCGAGUGGCGAACGGGUGAGUAAUACAUCGGAACAUGUCCAGUAGUGGGGGAUAGCCCGGCGAAAGCCGGAUUAAUACCGCAUACGAUCUUUGGAUGAAAGCGGGGGAUCGCAAGACCUCGCGCUAUUGGGGUGGCCGAUGGCGGAUUAGCUAGUUGGUGGGGUAAAGGCUCACCAAGGCGACGAUCCGUAGCUGGUCUGAGAGGACGACCAGCCACACUGGGACUGAGACACGGCCCAGACUCCUACGGGAGGCAGCAGUGGGGAAUUUUGGACAAUGGGCGAAAGCCUGAUCCAGCAAUGCCGCGUGUGUGAAGAAGGCCUUCGGGUUGUAAAGCACUUUUGUCCGGAAAGAAAUCCUUUUCGAUAAUACCGAAGGGGGAUGACGGUACCGGAAGAAUAAGCACCGGCUAACUACGUGCCAGCAGCCGCGGUAAUACGUAGGGUGCGAGCGUUAAUCGGAAUUACUGGGCGUAAAGCGUGCGCAGGCGGUGAUGUAAGACCGAUGUGAAAUCCCCGGGCUUAACCUGGGAACUGCAUUGGUGACUGCAUCGCUGGAGUAUGGCAGAGGGGGGUAGAAUUCCACGUGUAGCAGUGAAAUGCGUAGAGAUGUGGAGGAAUACCGAUGGCGAAGGCAGCCCCCUGGGCCAAUACUGACGCUCAUGCACGA
rnacentral:rRNA from 1 species